rnacentral:rRNA from 1 species
UACGGAAGAUCCAAGCGUUAUCCGGAAUUACUGGGCGUAAAGAGUUGCGUAGGUGGCAAAGUAAGCGAAGCAUGAAAUCUUGUGGCUCAACCAUAAGUCUAUGCUUUGAACUGCUUAGCUUGAGUGUAGGAGAGGUACCUGGAAUUCCCAGUGUAGGAGUGAAAUCCGUAGAUAUUGGGAGGAACACCGAUGGCGUAGGCAGGGUACUGGCCUAUUACUGACACUAAGGCACGAAAGCGUGGGGAGCGAACGGG